UGUCUUAUAUUUUAAUAAAAUUACUAAAUUGCAAAUUUAAAGAUGAUGAGAAUCUAAGACUU
rnacentral:tRNA from 1 species